CGAUGCGCGGCACUAACGAAGAGUAAAAAGAAUGAGGUACAAAUUUGAAAUAGGAUAAAGAAGAAGAUGAAAAGAAACGACGAAGUAGCGCGCGUCACGCGUUUAGAGGGCACGAGCAAACCGUGGGAGGAAGCCAUUUAGAAACCCAAUCCACCUGUUAAUCCAAUCGCCACGAAGCCGCUUGAGAACGACUUUAAUCGAGUGCCACCUAUGUUCCUCGCUCGACGACCGUCGGUGGCAGUGUGUGUCCUAGGAAAGACCUGGCACGCUCGAUUCCCUCCGAGUUAAAUUCGAUGAAUCGAACACACCGUUGACGGGGAUUAAUCAACUUUCGUUGGCCAGGUUAUAAAGAUCGAUGGAAGGGAUCGGAUCGUGCUGAUAAUAUAUCAGAUUCAUGGAAAGCAACGCUGGCUUCGAAAUACGUGUAAACGCGUGCAACGGCGCGUUGCACAUUGCCGCUCGAGCGCAUACGAUUCAUGCGAGCACGAGAGGAGUCGUCGAUGCGUAUCCAGCUAUCCACGUGCCAGGCGUUGCGUGCGACACGCCCAGUGCGUGGCUCGUACCACACGCACAUACGUGCCGCGCGAACCGAGAUUUAUGCCAUUGGCCGCGAACCACGCCGCUCGUUUAUCGGCCGUUCCACGCGCGCGGAUCACGGCAACGAACCAGGUACUUAAUCGCACCUUGCGCCGUCAUCCGCCGUGCUCGACGGACGCUGCCACGAAACAUACCUCAUUUUUCGAUCGUUAUCGUCUGCUUCGAUUAAUUCGAAUAACCAUCGAAUUUAUCUCUCGUGAUUAGCUUGCGAACGUUUAUGCACUUAUUGAAAAUAUAAAUUCUCGUAAAUGUACGUAGAAAGUAAUGAAAUGCAACGAUUCGCCAAUAUCGAAGAGUCAGAACAAAUAUUUCGAAUCCUUAAGUCGAUGAAGUUGAACGUUGCGUAUUGAAACAAUGAUGCAGAAACUAGAAUCGGUAGUAGUCUGAAUUAUUUUAACGGUACACUAUGUCGAUUGAAAACCUCUUCCCCCGAUAUUUACGUAAAAAUAACGGUAUCUCUAAAGCUUCAAGUUCGAUCAACUCUUAUCUCUACUACCUACGAUCAAUGAAAAUCUUACAGAACAAACAAACACGCUCUAGCAUAUUAAUGCUGUACCUUCGUUCGUCACACCCCAUCGUACCUCGCGCGUCUCCGCCGCUUAAGCGCAUCCUCCUUCCUGUCGCUUUAACCAAAAAAUCAAAUACGCUAAAUUACAAAGCGAACAGGUGCGUCUCUUAUCUCGAUCGUAUCACGACCGACCGAUCAGUUCACUUUUUUACCGUUGAACGAAUGGGGAAAAUCGGCGAAGCCGAGUACAGCUAGACGUGGGUCAAGCUGUAGACAGGUGCGCCUAGGAAACGAUCGUCUGGAUGCAAAGCGAGGUGCGCGUCGAACGGAGCGCCGCUCUGCUUCGUGCUUGCCGAUUCCCUUCGGCUGCGAAUCGGCGGGUGAGUCAACCG